AUAACGGUCCUAAGGUAGCGAAAUUCCUUGUCAGGUAAGUUCUGACCCGCACGAAAGGCGUAACGAUUUGGGCGCUGUCUCGGCAGCAGACUCGGUGAAAUCUUAGUACCUGUGAAAAUGCAGGUUACCCGCAACUAGACGGAAAGACCCCAUGGAGCUUUACUGUAGCCUGAUAUUGAAUUUUGAUCAAAGAUGUACAGGAUAGGUGGGAGGCUGUGAGACGUGUACGCUAGUAUACGAGGAGCCGCUGUUGGGAUACCACUCUUGUUUGAUUGAAGUUCUAACCUGCACCCAUGAACUGGGUGAGGGACCGUGUCAGGUGGGCAGUUUGACUGGGGCGGUCGCCUCCUAAAGAGUAACGGAGGCGCCCAAAGGUACGCUCAGAUUGGAUGGAAAUCAAUCGACGAGUGCAAAUGCAGAAGCGUGCUUGACUGUGAGACAAACAAGUCGAACAGGGACGAAAGUCGGGAUUAGUGAUCCGGCGGUGCCGAAUGGAAGGGCCGUCGCUCAACGGAUAAAAGCUACCCUGGGGAUAACAGGCUGAUCUCCCCCAAGAGUUCACAUCGACGGCGAGGUUUGGCACCUCGAUGUCGGCUCAUCGCAUCCUGGAGCUGAAUUCGGUUCCAAGGGUUGGGCUGUCCGCCCAUUAAAGCGGUACGCGAGCUGGGUUCAGAACGUCGUGAGACAGUUCGGUCCCUAUCUGUUGUGGGCGUUGGAGAUCUGAGGAGAGCUGUCCUUAGUACGAGAGGACCGGGAUGGACCUACCGCUGGUGCACCAGUUGUUCCGCCAGGAGCAUAGCUGGGUAGCUAAGUAGGGAAGGGAUAAGCGCUGAAAGCAUCUAAGCGCGAAGCCUACUCCAAGAUGAGAUCUCCCAUUCGUAUAACGAAGUAAGACCCCUUGAAGACGACGAGGUGGAUAGGUCAGAGAUGGAAGUGUAGCGAUACAUGGAGUUGACUGAUACUAAUAGGUCGAGGACUUAAUCAC
rnacentral:rRNA from 1 species